rfam:Clostridium estertheticum subsp. estertheticum strain DSM 8809, complete genome.
UUUAACAAGAAGAAACAGCCGUUUCUCACCUUACAGCAUAGCUAGUUAGGUUAAUUAGUAAUUUAAAUUGUUACUAUUAAGGACGGCAUUCGUGUCGUCCUUUUUAUUAUUG